UGCACUGCAUGGUAUCUGCCUGCAUCUGGCAGUCUGUUCCUGUUGGGAUAUUCCAAAGACAGAGUGAUCAAAAUUCGGUUGGUUUUCUUGGCUUUAUGCAUGUUAAUCUGGCAUUCCUAUUGGAACAAUU
ensembl:snoRNA